AACUGGUUGAAAGUCUCUCUCUGUCUCUACUGUUACUCAUGGCUGUGUGUGAGUGGCUGAGUGGGUUGGUCCUCUGCUGUGUCUCCAGAGUGAUUUAUCAGGUUUGCAGGGAGGAGACAGAGGGAGAGAGGGGGAGACAACUCCAGUAGCAGGGCAGGCGGCAGUUACCAGCCUGCUGGCUGGGUGUGUUAACUCCACAUCUGACCUCUAUGGGAACAGAGCAGCCUCCACUCCUCUCCUCCCCUCCUGGCAGACUGUGGGAACAAGGGUGACAGAUCUUCAUUUUACCUCCUCUCUCUCUGCCUCUCGCUGGGCUGUCGAGCUCUGGGAAGCUGCCCUGGACAGUGCAGGACAUGACGAGACAGGACAGCUUUGGCAGCGAGACCUCAGCGGGAGACCUGGGCUCUGAGGAUUGCACUGCCGACUGAUUCUUGGAUCUGGAAUGGCACAGUUGGCACAGUCAGGCUGUCAGUCAGGCAGCCAUGCAGUUGUCUAGUCAGUCAUUAGCCAGUCAGAUGUUUAGUUAGUCAGCCAUUAAAUUGGUCAGCGGGGUCUUCCCCAUAGGGUCAACUCUUCCACUUUGUGCAUAUCCUCAUCUGAACUCUGAGGUGACUCAGACUUACCGAGUAGCAAAAAAACCGGACCUGUGGGCAUGGUCACAGGUGCUCCACAGCUGCUGUGGACGAAGACAUCUGGAGCGCAGGAGGAUGUUGGAGAAAAUACAGAGGGCAGGGAAGGGCAGAGAGGUUUCAGGGUGGAUCCAGCCUGUGCCCCUGGCUGUGGUGGGGAGGGUUCCUGGCACCGUGAUUUGAUGCACAAAGAGAAACAAAAAUCACAUUGCCAGGGAUUUCCACUCUUUCACAGCUCAGCAGGUGACCGUGUUAUAUUUCCACACUGGGAUGCUUUUGUUCUUGGCCGUUCUGUUUGUUCAGUUAUGAUCUGAGACUGGAUGUUGCUAUGGAGUCAAAGGAAUAAAUAUUGGAGAGGUUAGACAGAUAUUGUGAUCAACUCUCUCAAUGGACUUCAAGAAGUCAACUUGUGGUUUCUCACACAGAAAAAAGUACACGUGUCUAAAUGCAUUUAAGGCUGCAGUUAAAUGUUCAGCUGUCUUCACUGCUCUCCCCUUUCAAAUCAGCCAGGAAGUCGAUGUAAAUGUAUACGAGAUAGAACGCAUUUUUUUGAGGCAGAUCAUAUUUCGGCUCUUGGAACUUAGAUUUAUAAACAAGUAGCGAUUUUGAUGUUAAGGAUCCUCUAUUGGCAGCAUACUCUGAAUGAGCCCGGUUGAAGGCAAAGCAAACCUCUGCAUCAUAAGCAUUGCUUGGCUCUGAAAGCCGGCACACUUUACCACUGAGCAGUCACGUAAAGGUCUGCGUGAGUCUCUGUUCCCUCAAAAGCCAGCCACCCACUUGCUAAAGGCACAGAGCUUAGCUAAUUGGUGAGCAUUGAUCCCUGCUAUGUGUUGUUCACAGUGGCUAAGUUCAGUGCCUGAGGUGAAAUAGUUGAUUCGACGGAGGGGAUUUGUUCCGGUGAAUGGAAAGAACUUGAUGAUCUCGGAUAUGAAGAAAGGAGGAGGGAGGAGGAGAGGAGUGACAAGAGAUUAGGUGGAGAGGGAGGGAGGUGGGAAGACACAAAAGGCUAAAGGUCCCACGUAGGAGCUACGUCGGGUUAAAUGUGUUGCCAUGGACCAAAUGCAGGUCUUGGUUGUGCAAUGGCCAGUCCAGGCAUGAGACAAGCUGCACCAUUUUUUUAAUUGUGCUUGCCUGAAGCAAUAACUGUCUUAUUUCACCUUGUCUCUCUGGCAAGAACCAUCAUGCAUACCAAAUAUAUUUAAAAGCGCUUCAGUGAGACAGUUUGACCCAGGUUUAAUGUGGACUUAAAAAUGCCACAGGUUGUAUUGCGAUUUUAGGAAUGUGGUGCUAAAUGUCAGACCCGUCUGGGCAUGCCCAGUUCAUGUCCAACUGAGUUUGCUCAGGACUAGUGUGCCACACAGCAGCCUGGACUGUGUUGGAGAGGAAACCACGUAGUUGGCCGUCUGAUAAACCGCUCCUCAUAGCUAAGCAACUAGUAAAAGAGGGAGAUUUUGUCUUUUUAUGGCUUUUUUUAAACCAAAAAGUGUGCAAAACAAAGUGUAUGAAAUAGAUUAUACUGUGUGUAUAAUGCACACUACAUGCUUAUAUCUACAGUAUUUGGCUAAGGAGUGUAUUAUUGACAGCAUUAGUCUUUGGAGUCACAAGGUUAUUUAAAAAAAAAAAAACUGUUCAGAACUAGCUGUGUAUUAUUUCUUCACUGUGUGUAAGCUAAUAUUAGCCGCUCUGUCCUGCUCUUUAUUAGAUUAGUUACACUCCAGCAACACAAAUUAAUGUUAACAUUACAUUACAAACGCAUUAGUUCGUCCUCUUAGUCCUCACCAUAAAACCCUUUUCUCUUGAAAUGUUAUAAAUAAAAUCAUGGUGGUUGAAACUACCAACAAAUUUGUAUGCUAAACAGCCAAUGUUAAAGCAUAAUAAUUUAAUUUUUUAUUAAAAUAUUAGGACUAACUAAGCUAGCAUUACGAGAUCAUUCCCACUUCUCUGUCUGUUUUUCUGCCUUCUUUAUAGAUCACCAACUGCUGAAGAUGCUGACCGUCUGCCUGACCUCAGUUUUUUAGCACAAUAUAUCUUACUUUGUUAAUUUGUGUACUAUUGUCUGAAACUGAGGACAAAUUAUUAAGACUUUUGAGCUGUAAUUCUGCCAGUAUUAUCGCUGUAAACAGUAUGCGUGCCAUGCAAGCACAGAAAGCUUUACAGGCGUAGCAGCUGCUGGGCUUAGGGAACAGUAAAUACACUGCAUGUUGCAUGUCAUAUUACCCUUUUUGUUGGGAUUUAAAAAAAAAAAAUCCUUCUGUAUCUGUGUUGUCAAACAGAGCGAGGGCUGUGCCCUCCCGUGCCUACUGAACUGGUAUCAGUGUUUUACCUGAAAACUGGCUCAGUUCAGCAGGAACAGGAGUGGAGCCCACUAACUAGCAGCAUCUAUGUCCCGCGUUACCUCAUCACCUUCCACUGAACGUGCAGCAAGGCUGCCCAGAUUCAACACACCCACCACAGAGCGGUGUAGGGCGUUAGCGUCGAGGCAUUGGCCCUGAUGAAAAUCAAACCCGAGCCCUCAACCUGUCAGACGAUGGCACUGAACCCUGAACUGUAUGCAAGGCAGUGCAGCUCCAGUAAGAUGACUGUCCCUUUCUUUGCUAAAAUAUGAAUGUUUCAUAAGCAGAUUUACCAUUUUUUGCUUGAUAGGUAGGCCCUGGCAUCCUGAGCCGUUGGGUGAAUAUUGUUACAUACUGAUGCAGUCGAUCUUGUUGUUCUGCUCAGCCUUCAUGUUUAUUUCAGCAUUGUUCCCUCGUCAAAAAGCUGCAAACAUGUCUUUCACUCUUUGCCUAUGUUUCUCUCUCUUUCUCUCUCUUUCUCUCUUUUCGGUCUUUCUGUGCUGUCAAAGGCCAGACUGAGACUGGAGUUCAUUGUCAGGUAAUCCCAGUGAAAUGUCUGCUAUGCAUAUAUAAUUGAUGUCACCCAGCAGUCCCCAUUAUCAGUGAUUGGGAAUGUGUGCAAUGUGGCUUCUUCCCCGCUCUCCAUUUAACUCGCAGCCACCAAAGAAAAAGUGCUUAAUCUUAAGGAUUUCAUACCCACAGGAAAAUGGAAGCUCAUUAGCAAGCAUGAUGAAUCUGCUCUUACCCAGAAACUCUACUGAUCGUGGUUGGCAACAUACAAUUAUAUUUCUGAUUUUUGUGAAUUUAAAUGUUCCACUCGGACCUUGAGAAGAUUACUCAAAGAAAGGUUAAAAAAUCUGUGUUUUUAUCGUGUCAGUGGUGUGAUAUUGACUUCAGGGCAUUGUUUCAGCCAAGCGCUACCACCAACAGGUUAGCAAUGAUUUGCGUAAGCGUUUAUUCUAACUGAAUGUGGAAGACACCGGUGCAUGAAGUGCAUUAUUAUAAAUGUCAGUGAUUUUCUAACUACUUUCAACCAUUUGAAGUAUGACUUGUUUUUAUGUUACAGGCGCAAACAGUGUUUCAUUUCAUUACAAAUUCAGCCACAUUGUAAUGUAAUAAAGUUCAAAUGAACCUGA